GCGCGAAAACUUUACAAUGCGGGAAACCGUGAUAAGGGAACUCCGAGUGCCCGUAAAAUCGGGCUGUCCAUCUGUUUAAAUAACAGGUGAAGAAAGGGCCGGGCAAGACCGGUGCCAGCCGCCGCGGUAAUACCGGCGGCUCGAGUGGUGGCCACUAUUACUGGGCUUAAAGCGUUCGUAGCUGGUCUGUUAAGUCUCUGGGGAAAUCUACUGGCUUAACCAAUAGGCGUUUCAGGGAUACUGGCAGACUAGGGACCGGGAGAGGUGAGAGGUACUCCAGGGGUAUGA
rnacentral:rRNA from 1 species